ACACGAAGCAUGCGCGUCUCUCGUCCGGCCGCGGUGCCUUAGCGGCACACUGAACAUGCGCAUCCACCCUCGUGCUAGGGCUCCCCUGUAGUUAAGGCGGGCACCGCACACUGGGAACCUGCACGUUAACUGCUCAAGUUGCUGUACGACCCCCUCCGCUAUGGACAUUGCUGCAGGGCGCAUGACCUCGAGGAGCGGUUGCCCAGUCGGGGCAGUCUGUUUCCUGUGUCUCUCAAGAGAUGAAGGAGAAAAGGCCCAUCUCUGUGGAUGUUGAACCAUGGGAGGAGGGAGUAUCCUGACAAGGACUGAGAGGUUUAGGAAGGAGCCAGGCUCAAGCUUCAAGGGGACAUAUGACUGAUCACCCUCCAGCCAACAAUGCAACCUGGAUAUAAGUGCCUGUGCCCUUCCUCCAGUUGCUGGAAUUUAGCUACUAGAUCUAUGCUNCAUCAGUUUCCAGGAGCUCCAGCCUUGAUGUCCUGGUCAUGCUGGUCAAGAACGGUUCCCUCAUCCCAACCCCUGACUUGGGUUUGCAACAUGUCCUAGAACCUGGACCUCCAGCACCAGCUGAAGCUGCAACAAAAUUCCUGAACAGGAUGCGAAAGUGUUUCAACUGAGCCUUGAGAGCUGAAUGUACCUUGGCACCUGUCCCCUGGAUGGGACAACUUGAGGAAGGGCAAUCCAUAUUCCCGUUCCCUACCAAGGACACUUGUUAGUGUGCAUAUGAGGAGUAAGUCCACCACCAACUCUCUAUCCCUGAAGGGCUUUCACUGUCCUGAAGUAGGCACAACUGUGUAGGCCCAGCAGGUCAUGUCACUGAUGCAGAAGAAAUGUAGAGAGCAGCAUGGUAGAUACCUGCAGUGUGGGCUACACUGAUUGUCUAAAUGCAAGACAAACACCAAGGGUCCUCCUGGCAGUGAGUGAAAGAGAAACUAAGCAGAGAUGAGACAAAAGAGAGGAGAAAGGUUUAUUACCUGAAGGGGAUGAGGAGAGCAUUGGCAUCCUAUUUGGGAAGCCACAUCCUGCUCCAGCAAGUAAAGCAUGGGCACUAAACAAAGCAUGCACCACACUCCUGGGCAUAUUCAAUUUAUGUUCAUGGAGCACAUACCCUAAAAACAUAAAUGACAGACAAAAGAGAAGACUUUUCCCCAGAUUCCAGAUGGUGCCUUCCUUGCAGGGUGGCUAAGAAUACCACNGACCAUGGCUAAGAACACCACAGUAGACACUGAGACUGUUGUCAGCCCCUGGGUACAGGGCACACAUGGACCUGUUUGAAGUUUGAAGCUGUUUCUUAUAGACUUCAUGUUUAAGUAAUGUUGGGAUUCUAUGUACAAUUCACUCAGUGUAAGCAGNAGUCACUGAUCAAAACACUAUAGCAUUACAUAGUUACUUGCCCUUUUGGCCUUCCUGCCUCAUCUUCUUCCUAUAAGCCAGUGGUUUCCAAAUUUCCUGACUCUGCAACAUUUUAAUACAGUUGCUCAUGAUGUGAUGAAACUUCAACCAUAAAAUUACUUCA